CCUGAGAAAUCCGGAAGAUCGAAUGGGGAGAUUCAUCGUCAGCGAUCCAGGCGCGUGUGGUUUUCGUGUUGCCGCGCGAUUUCGGUUCCAUGGUACACGUCCGUGUGGGAUUUUGCCUGGUGUCAUCGGCGUGCACUUCUCCCCGAGUAGGACGUUGCGACCCGUUGGGUAUCGGUCUACGUCCAGGAUGGUCGCCUGUCAUGCGUACGAUGCUUUGCGGCGUCAUGUGGCUGACAGACCUUCGGUCGCCCGACCAGCUUCCCGUCGGUACUCGCAUGGUAUCGAGCCGCAGACUCGAACUGCGUCCGCCCCGCCGCAAACGAGGCCAGUGCUCCCGGAUGUACGGACCUAAUGCCGUCGCCGGGCCUGCCCAGUAGUUUGCUGAUGGUGUUCUGGGACUGGCUCAUACAAAGAUACCGGUCGGAGACGCUACUGCUUUGGGUACUUUCAGGAUCCGUCUUGAAACACGGACCAAGGAGUCUAACAUGUGCGCGAGUUAUUGGGAACUCUAAAGCCUAAAGGCGCAAUGAAAGUGAAAGUCGGCCGUGCGCCAACCGAGGGAGGAUGAGCCGCGUCAUGAUGCGRUCCCGCACUCCCGGGGUGUCUCGUUCUCAUUGCGAGAAGAGGACCACCCAGAGCAUACACGUUGGGACCCGAAAGAUGGU
rnacentral:rRNA from 1 species